rnacentral:rRNA from 1 species
AUUGCCUUAGUAACUGCGAGUGAAGCGGCAAAAGCUCAAAUUUGAAAUCUGGCACUUUUGGUGUCCGAGUUGUAAUUUGGAGGGGUAUCUUCGGAAAAUGGCACCGUUCUAUGUUCCUUGGAACAGGACAUCACAGAGGGUGAGAAUCCCGUGCUUGGACGGACCAGCCAUCUUCCACAUGAAGUGCCUCCGACGAGUCGAGUUGUUUGGGAAUGCAGCUCAAAAUGGGUGGUAAAUUUCAUCUAAAGCUAAAUAUUGGCGAGAGACCGAUAGCGCACAAGUAGAGUGAUCGAAAGAUGAAAAGCACUUUGAAAAGAGAGUUAAAAAGUACGUGAAAUUGUUGAAAGGGAAGCGCUUGAGAUCAAACUCAGUUAAUGGUGAUCAACUGUUGCUUUUGCUCAGUGCACUUGCCAUUUGAUUGGGCCAGCAUCGGUUCUGACGGUGGGAAAAACGGCUGGGGAAUGUAGCUCUUUCUUUGGAGGGAGUGUUAUAGACCUGGUCUUUCAUACCGCCAGCUAGGACCGAGGACUGCACUCAUUUUUUUUUUAAUGGGUUAGGAUGCUGGUGUUAAUGGUCUUAAGCGACCCGUCUUGAAACACGGACCAAGGAGUCUAACAACUAUGCGAGUGUUCGGGUGGAAAACCCUUGCGCGUAAUGAAAGUGAACGGAGGUGGGAACCUAAAAAUUUAUUUAUUUUCUGGUGCACCAUCGACCGAUCCUGAUGUUUUCGGAAGGAUUUGAGUAUGAGCAUAGCUGUUGGGACCCGAAAGAUGGUGAACUAUGCCUGAAUAGGGUGAAGCCAGAGGAAACUCUGGUGGAGGCUCGCAGCGGUUCUGACGUGCAAAUCGAUCGUCAAAUUUGGGUAUAGGGGCGAAAGACUAAUCGAACC